GAUGAACGCUGGCGGCGUGCUUAACACAUGCAAGUCGAACGGAAAGGCCCAAGCUUGCUUGGGUACUCGAGUGGCGAACGGGUGAGUAACACGUGGGUGAUCUGCCCUGCACUUCGGGAUAAGCCUGGGAAACUGGGUCUAAUACCGGAUAGGACGAUGGUUUGGAUGCCAUUGUGGAAAGUUUUUUCGGUGUGGGAUGAGCUCGCGGCCUAUCAGCUUGUUGGUGGGGUAAUGGCCUACCAAGGCGUCGACGGGUAGCCGGCCUGAGAGGGUGUACGGCCACAUUGGGACUGAGAUACGGCCCAGACUCCUACGGCAGGCAGCAGUGGGGAAUAUUGCACAAUGGGCGCAAGCCUGAUGCAGCGACGCCGCGUGGGGGAUGACGGCCUUCGGGUUGUAAACUCCUUUCGCUGGGGACGAAGCGUUUUUGUGACGGUACCUGGAGAAGAAGCACCGGCUAACUACGUG
rnacentral:rRNA from 1 species